AACGAACGCUGGCGGCGUGUCUUAAGCAUGCAAGUCGUGCGGCAAGGCGGGGCAACCUGCCCUAGAGCGGCGGACUGGUGAGUAACGCGUGGGUGAUCUGCCCUUGGGAUGGGGAUAGCCUCUAGAAAUAGAGGGUAAUACCGAAUACGUUCGGCGGGGUAAGCCCGUCGAGGAAAAGCGCUUCGGCGCUGCCCGAGGAUGAGCCCGCGUCCCAUUAGCUAGUUGGUGGGGUAACGGCCCACCAAGGCUAUGAUGGGUAGCCGGCCUGAGAGGGUGUACGGCCACACUGGGACUGAGAUACGGCCCAGACUCCUACGGGAGGCAGCAGCUAAGAAUAUUCCGCAAUGGACGAAAGUCUGACGGAGCGACGCCGCGUGGAUGACGAAGGCCGAAAGGUUGUAAAGUCCUUUUGUUGGGGAAGAAUAACCAUGGGAGGGAAUGCCCGUGGGAUGACAUGAACCGACGAAUAAGCCCCGGCUAACUACGUGCCAGCCGCCGCAGUAA
rnacentral:rRNA from 1 species